rnacentral:lncRNA from 1 species
UGAAAGGGAGAUCCAGGAAAAAGUUAGAGACAUAAAACAGAAAGAAUCAUCCUGAUAAAUUGAGUACCCCACCUUGGGGAAAUUUAUGCAAAAAAAAUAGGGAUUAUGGCAAGUAAUUGCAUCCUGCUGAUCUUCAGUUUGGAAAACAUUGUUGAGCACAAGGGUUGACGGUGAUGCAUCACCCCAAUAGCGGCCCAAAACACAGUGAACAUCAAGAGUUGGU